AUAGAUGUUUCUGUAAUUAUGCUCUUUCUUUCUGUGGUGGAUUAUCAUGCAUUACAAAAAUUAGAGGGUGCAUCUUGUUGGAAAUAAAGUGAAAUACCAACAUACUUUUAAUUUUUUAACAAACAACUUGCUGUAACUGUCAUAAAAAAAUAACUUUUUUUUUUAUAAAUUAAUGUUGUAAGAGAUGUGAAUGUAUGUGACAUUGAACUUGAAAAAAUUCUGAUUUUACUUUUUGAUGUACAUACCAUAAAUUUAUAGAAAUGAAAAUGAAUGUAAAUCUCUCCUUAUAUAUACAGAUGAUUUAAGAGAUGUUUGUAGUCUUUCAUUACAAGACUAUUUGUUUACUGUAAAACAGAAAUAAACUUAUUUUUGUUUUU
rnacentral:misc_RNA from 1 species